GCUCCGAUGGCCUAGUGGUUAGAGCGUCCGCCUCAAAUGCGCGAGGCCGUGAGUUGUAUCCCCGGUCGAAUCA